rnacentral:rRNA from 1 species
CUGAGAUUUCGCUUCGAUGAAGACGGCAGCGAAAUCUGUUAGGUAUUUUGAAUGCCGGAAUUCAGGGAUUCAUGGAAUCUUUAAACGCCCCUUGCGCCUUUUGGUAUCCCGGAGGCCAGGCCUGUUUGAGUUUCAUUAAUUUUUCACCUUUAUAAGUUUUUACUUAUUAAAGCUUGGAUGUUGGAGGCUUGCAGGCGUUUGUCAGCUCCUCUUAAAUUUAUUAGUGGGAACCCUGUUUUGUUAGUUCUAACCUUGGUGUGAUAAUUAUCUACAUUUUGGUGGAACCUUACAAUAAUAAAGCGUCCCCCAAAUACAGUGGCGGUCCCGCCGCAGCUUCCAUUGCGUAGUAGCUAACACCUCGCAACUGGAGAGCGGCGCGGCCACGCCGUAAAACACCCAACUUCUGAAUGUGACCUCGAAUGCAGGUA